GGUGGUUCUCGGGUAAUGCACCCCUGAAUCAGGCUCCCUCCUCUCUGGUUCUGGGUGUGUCACCUGAGAACCACA
rfam:Myotis brandtii contig279039, whole genome shotgun sequence.